rnacentral:lncRNA from 1 species
GCGGAGGAUCCUGGCAAAGACUACCUGAAUCUAUGCUCAAGCUCCGGUGUCAUCACGAGGAAGCCAUGGACAUCCUGCAGAGGGUCUGGCCGUGCUCUUCAAAAGGGUCAAGGUUGUGAAAGAUGGGGCACACCAGAAGAGCUGUCCCAGGCUGGGGGACAUGGGAAGACAGAUGACCAAGGGCAAUAUGGAGCCUGGACUGGACGAUAGUGAGUAAGCCGGGAAAGUCUGAGCUUCAGUGAAUACUGUUGACCAACAUUUGUGUCCUAGCCCUGAUGCACACACCAUGGUUAUGUAGCACGCUUACGUGGGAGAGGCUGGAGGAGGGUGUUCGGGAACUCUAGUUCAUCUUUAUGAUUCUUGGGUAAAUCUGAAAUUAUUUGAAAACGAAGCAUUAAAAAAAUCAGGUGCUU